AUUGAACGCUGGCGGCAUGCCUUACACAUGCAAGUCGAACGGCAGCACGGGAGCAAUCCUGGUGGCGAGUGGCGAACGGGUGAGUAAUACAUCGGAACGUGCCCAAUCGUGGGGGAUAACGCAGCGAAAGCUGUGCUAAUACCGCAUACGAUCUACGGAUGAAAGCAGGGGAUCGCAAGACCUUGCGCGAAUGGAGCGGCCGAUGGCAGAUUAGGUAGUUGGUGAGGUAAAGGCUCACCAAGCCGUCGAUCUGUAGCUGGUCUGAGAGGACGACCAGCCACACUGGGACUGAGACACGGCCCAGACUCCUACGGGAGGCAGCAGUGGGGAAUUUUGGACAAUGGGCGAAAGCCUGAUCCACCCAUGCCGCGUGCAGGAUGAAGGCUUUCGGGUUGUAAACUGUUUUUUUACGGAACAAAACGGCUUUUUCUAAUAAAAAGGCCUAAUGAUGGAACCGAAAGAAAAACCUUGCUUAAUUUCUUCCUAUCACCUCGGGGAAUCUAUGGGUGGAAACCUUUAUCGGAAUUUCCUGGCGCUAAAACGUUGGGGCGGGCGUUUGGAAGAAAAUUUGGAAAAAAACCCGGGUUCAAACCGGGGGAAACUGCUUCUGGGCACCGGCAUACCUUGGGGGUACGGUAAGAGGGGGAUGGGAUUUCCGCGGCGUACCAUUGAAAUU
rnacentral:rRNA from 1 species